GCCGGGCGUGGUGGCGCAUGCCUGUAAUCCCAGCGGCUUGGAAGGCUGAGGCAGGAGGAUCGCAGGUUCAAAGCCAGCCUCAG
rnacentral:sRNA from 1 species